rnacentral:snoRNA from 1 species
AAAAGAGCAAUUCUUUUUUUUAAGAUGUACAUUUGAUUAAGACCAUGCAUAUGUCCCCAGACCUAGUUCUUUGCCUAGGUCUGGUUUUAUAAAUGCUGGUGAUAAAC